AUCCAGGUAGCUUAAUGGUAAAGCACCCAACCGGCAAUUGGGAAAUCUGGGUACAAGUCCCGGCUCGGACU
rfam:Strigamia maritima strain Brora ctg7180001230557, whole genome shotgun sequence.